ensembl:lncRNA
GAGCACCCCGGGCUGGCUCACGUCAACCUACAGCGGUUCCCCCGCUUCUGCGGGGUGCAAAUGUGUGCACCCAGGAGGGCGCAAACACGCGUGCCGUGGAGGGCACGGGUGACACACGCAUGUGCCGGGCGGUGCAGAGAGGCCAGGGAACGGGAGGGCCCCGCGAUGGCAUCGCCUCUCCCCAGCCGAGGCCCCGGUGCCACCGGCGUGGUUAUUUUUAGCAGUGACAUGUGUCACCUCAGCUGCCGCUGUGGCAGGGGGGUGGCGGGGGGAAGCACACGCUGCCCCGCUGCCGCCGCUCGCCCGCACGCCGCCUUCGCUCUCCGGCUCCCUGGGGGUCCCGCACCGGCGGCAGAGCCCGGUGCCAGCGUGGGCUGUCAGCCCCCCCGUGCCUGCAGCCCCCCACCCAGCACCAUCCCACCUCCCUGCCGGCAUGGCCAUCUCCUCACGCCUGGCGCUCUGGGAGCAGAAGGAAAGUCUCAGUCCAGGAUGGCAGCAGCAGCGUUUCGGGGCUGGAUGUUCACAGGCUGCCCGGGGGCUCGGUGCCGGGUGGGGGGACGCACCACAGCCAACCUGCCGCACGCCUCGGGUCGGCGUCCCCUCAGCUCCCCGUGCACGUUGCUCAUGCCGUGUCCAACCCUGCUGGCUCCGGGCACCUUUGCAGGCUGAAUGUUCUAGUUUGAGCGAUUUUGCUGCUGUUCAAGGUGUGCAGUUCCCUGCAGGGCCGAGACUCGGGAGUCUGCAGGGCUUGGUGCUGGUGCUGCUGUGCAGUGGUGCGGCCGGGAAAGCCUUUUGCUGUGGGAGCUGUGGGAAGUGGGGCUGGGUUUCAGCUUGGGGCCUGGCAUGGAGGGACCUGCAGGUCUGCUCGUGGCCGUGGUGAUGCUGGGAGGCACUUCUUGACUCGCUGCAGCUGGGAUGGUUCCUCCCGUGGCCAUGCCGGAGCUGCUGGGUGUCGGGCAGAGCCGGCAGAACACGUGGGCUCCCCGCAGCACCCAGCCCUUGGCGGUGUGUGGAAACUUCGGAGCUUCUCUGUGGGGCUUUUCUUUGUGCUUUUUCUCCCACUUGCCACAUCAUCCCUGAACGAGUCUGGUGCUCAUGGGUGGCCCGUGGCCUCGCUGGCAACCAGCAAGAUGCCUGUGGCCAGCCACACCAGCGGAGCGGGGUGCUGAUGUUCUGCUGCUCGUGCUGCUAACGUCCCCAUGGGGCUGGCUUUGCCGGGGCUCCUGUCCCUAUGCCGUGCCCCGUAACCCAGCCUCUGCUCCGGCAAACAGAUACGGGACGAGGACCGGGUGCCACCCCCAUCUGCCCCCCCCCUGCUCCUGUCGGUCAUCCCUGGGGGGUUCAUCAAGCAGCUCGUGCGGGAGACCGAGAAGGAGGCGAAGGCGGCAAAACUGAAGAAGGAAACCAAGGUGAGUGUGAAAGAGGAGGUGAGUGGUGCUUGAACCCUGUGCAGGGCUGGGGUGUCCUGCCUUGGUGCUGGCUGUCCCCAGCCCAGAGCAGUUCCUUGGGGGCCGGGGGGCUGCAGGGCCCCAUGACACCGGCCCCAGCCUGGAGCCUGAGGCUUUUUUUUGCACGAGUGGGG